UUGGAAACUCUGGCUUGUGUGGCUAUGUAGAGUGUGUAGACACUGUACCCCCUCGGCACAACAUACCCCCUCGGCACAACAGAAAUUUCAAAAAGAAUAACAAAAGAGUUCUAAUUGGUAUCCUUGUGCCUGUUUGUGGUUUAUUAAUGGUUACAACUGUCAUUGGUCUUAUGUUCCGUAAAAAAUCCAGUCUCGUUUUGAACAAAGUCAACACUUCUGAAAACUUUGAGAGUUUGGAGUCAAUGAUAUUGCAAGAGGAAGUAAAGUUUACGUUUGCGGAAGUUGUGAAGGCUGUAGAUGACUUUCAUGACAAGUACUGCAUUGGGACAGGAGGGUUUGGAAGGGUUUACAAGGCAGAGUUGCAAUCAGGCCAGGUUGUUGCAGUUAAAAGGCUUAACAUGUCAGACUCUAAUGAUAUUCCAGCAAUUAAUCUCCAUAGCUUUCAGAAUGAAAUCCGAACUUUGACAAGCAUCCGGCACCGGAACAUCAUAAGGCUCUAUGGCUUCUGUUCAAGAAGGGGGGGUUGCAUAUUCCUGCUUAUGAAUACUUAGAGAGAGGAAGCCUGGGAAAAGCUUUGUAUGGAGUUGAAGGUGUUAAUGAACUUGGCUGGGCUACUAGAGUCAAAAUUGUGCAAGGACUUGCUCAUGCACUUUCUUACUUGCACCAUGAUUGCUCUCCACCAAUUGUGCACCGUGACAUAACCGUCAACAAUGUAUUGCUUGAAUCUGAUUUCGAGGUUCGUCUCUCAGAUUUCGGAAUAGCCAGGUUAUUGAGUACUGAUUCAUCCAACUGGACAUAUAUUGCUGGUUCAUUUGGCUACAUAGCACCAGAGCUUGCAUACACUAUGCGAGUCACGGAUAAAUGUGAUGUAUAUAGCUUUGGAGUGGUGGCGCUCGAAGUCAUGAUGGGAAGGCACCCAGGGGAUAUGCUAGAGUCCCAGCUACAAGAAUCAUCAAAAUCAAGGAGGGACAAUGUAGAAUUGCUCCUGAAAGAUUUGUUAGACCAAAGGUUGGAGCCGCCAACCAAUGAAUCUGCAAAGGCAGUGGUGCUUGUAGUGACAAUGGCCUUGGCCUGUAUAUGAACGCGUCCUGCGUCCAGACCCACGAUGUUAUUUGCGGCAUAAAAACUCUCAGCUCAAACCCUGCCUUGCCUUCCCGAACCAUUUGGUAUGUUGACAAUCAACAAGCUAAUGGCACUAUAAAAAAAAAAAA